AAAAUAAUAAUGUAUGGAUAUCAUUUGGAAAGUGACAUGAAAUGUUGUUAAAAAGUGAUGCAUACAAGUGUUUCAGAAGUCUGUCUAGGAAUAGAACAACAACUGAAGCUGACCAGUUGAUGGAAGAUACUGCAGAGUUUGGCAGGGAAAUAACCCAAGACAGCAAAGCGGCUCUUUUGGCGCAUUUACCAAGAGGACUAACAUGGCCACAAAUUCAUGAGAUCAUGCAGGAGCCGUACAGUAUAACAGCAGUACAAGUUCUAUAAAAGAUCCACGACCUACUGAAGCCCAGCUAAUUAACAAAAAAGUUUUUAAAAACUGUAAUUUUAUCCCACCUGGGUACUUAUAAUUUACUAAGCUGCUUACACAAGUUUUAGACUUGCAAUUAUAUUUUAAACUGUCACUUGGAAAGUAAUACAUGUACAUGCAUUAUGUUCUGAAUUUCUUUGAACAAUAAAAUUAUAUAAAAGUAUUUUAAUGAAAUUGAGCACCUAAAUUGCAUUAAAGUGAAAGUAGCUGAGAAAAAUAGUAUCCUUGUGCUCAUGGGCAGCUACAUAUAUUGUGACAAACAUGAAGUAGCUAAAAUAACUUAAAUUUUUCAUUUGUUUCUUGUAUAUCGUUUGUACAGGGUUCGUGAAUUGUUACUGUAUAUUACUUGACUUGCUUGUAUUUUGUUACUUUGAAUACAUGUUGUUAAGGUUGCAUUAUACUUUUUAACUUUUAUAGUAGCGCCUGUUCUGUUAUGUAAGGGCCUGAUUUAUGAUAAUGGACCUAGAGGCUUUGUAAGCAUGUAUUAAACAACACU